rfam:Leptosomus discolor contig4803, whole genome shotgun sequence.
UGCUGUGAUGAUGUAAUUUGCGUCUUAUCCAGUGUUCAGCGACAGUUGCCUGCUGUCAGCGUGCUGGCACUGUUGAACUGAAGACCCUUUCAUUCUGAGCA